rnacentral:rRNA from 1 species
GGAUAACCUGCCCUUGGGUCCGGCAUAACCCCGGGAAACUGGGGAUAAUUCCGGAUAACGCAUAUGUGCUGGAAUGCUUUAUGCGUAAAAUGGAUUCGUCUGCCCAAGGAUGGGUCUGCGGCCUAUCAGGUAGUAGUGGGUGUAAUGUACCUACUAGCCGACAACGGGUACGGGUUGUGAGAGCAAGAGCCCGGAGAUGGAUUCUGAGACAUGAAUCCAGGCCCUACGGGGCGCAGCAGGCGCGAAAACUUUACAAUGCGGGAAACCGUGAUAAGGGGACACCGAGUGCCAGCAUCAUAUGCUGGCUGUCCGGGUGUGUAAAAUACACCUGUUAGCAAGGGCCGGGCAAGACCGGUGCCAGCCGCCGCGGUAACACCGGCGGCCCGAGUGGUGAUCGUGAUUAUUGGGUCUAAAGGGUCCGUAGCCGGUUUGGUCAGUCCUCCGGGAAAUCUGAUAGCUCAACUAUUAGGCUUUCGGGGGAUACUGCCAGACUUGGAACCGGGAGAGGUAAGAGGUACUACAGGGGUAGGAGUGAAAUCUUGUAAUCCCUGUGGGACCACCUGUGGCGAAGGCGUCUUACCAGAACGGGUUCGACGGUGAGGGACGAAAGCUGGGGGCACGAACCGGAUUAGAUACCCGGGUAGUCCCAGCCGUAAACGAUGCUCGCUAGGUGUCAGGCAUGGCGCGACCGUGUCUGGUGCCGCAGGGGAAGCCGUGAAGCGAGCCACCUGGGGAAGUACNGNCGCAAGGCUGAAACUUAA